CAUUAGCGAGUUCUGGGUGUCCUCCGCUGAUGGAGUCAUGUGCACUCAUCUGUCUUUUCAGGGCAGCCUGUCUCCUGGAGCUUCUCCCUGUUGCAUUGCCGAAGCCCAGCACAACUCAUGAGAUUGAGAUGAGUAUCUUCUCUCCCACCAUAUUGUCCAGUGUAUCCUGCUCCCAGCUUACAUACUGUCAGGCUGCCGUAACAGAAUACUACAGGUGAAGAAAUUCAACAGAUAUGAAGCUCAUGCCACAGUGCACGGGUAAUUAACUUUUGGAAUGAUAAGAAUACUGCUAAAAUGAAUUUUCUAAUUAGAAAAACAAUCCCACAAAAGUAGAAGGAGAGUCCAUAAGGGAAAUGGUCAUGUGGACAAAAGAGCUUUCAAACAGGAACUAGAUGGAAUUGUGCAGUCCUCAUUCUUCUGUUGAACUCGACACAGUCGCAUACCCUCUUUGGAUGUCGUUUUUCUUUUUCUACAGUGAUAAUUAAAACAAAUUCACAUGAUUAAAAGCUAGUAAAAUUACUUGCCAGCACUGGAAAAUAACAAGUUUUGUAGAUGUCAGUAUAGUUAUCAACUAUAAAACAUUUUAUAUGAACCAUAUUUUUAUUAUUAAAUCGAAUUUUUAAAAACCAGGUAAUUUCCAGAAUACAUUUAAAAAAGUGAUUGAUGGAUUUCCCUCAGCAGAGCUUUAGAAUUCUUAAAUAUGCCAAACAUCUUUUUCUUCAAGUAUCACAAAUUCUGGUUACCACAGAUCAAAUCCUGCAUCUUCUUCCUUAAAUCUCUUCUUCUGCCUACCUUCACGGACAUGCCCUUCAACAUUACCAAAAGUUACACUGGAGAGAAAUCUGAGAGCAAUCCAGUCAUCAUUUAAUUCCUUCUCACUUCCUCCCUUAAGUUCAUCACAAAAUCCAUUGAAUUUCCCUGCCCAGGCUUGUCUGUAUUCUAUCACUCUCUCAGCUGCAAUUUCACCAUCCUUUCAAUUCUCAUCACUGUCUACUUGCAUUAUGCAGUGUAAUGCUCAAUGAUUCUCUAUUUUCUGUUCUCCAUCCCACCACUGAAU
rnacentral:lncRNA from 10 species